GGCCACAUGAUCCUAGAGAACUGCAGC
rnacentral:piRNA from 1 species